UACGAAGGGGGCUAGCGUUGCUCGGAAUUACUGGGCGUAAAGGGCGCGUAGGCGGCACUGUUAGUCAGGCGUGAAAGUCCUGGGCUCAACCUGGGAACUGCGCUUGAUACAUCCAGGCUUGAGUGGGGAAGAGGGUCGUGGAAUUCCCAGUGUAGAGGUGAAAUUCGUAGAUAUUGGGAAGAACACCGGUGGCGAAGGCGGCGACCUGGUCCUUUACUGACGCUGAGGCGCGAAAGCGUGGGGAGCAAACAGG
rnacentral:rRNA from 1 species